rnacentral:lncRNA from 7 species
AGGGCCCUGGCUUUACUUUCUUCCCUGAGUUCUAUGGAAAUCUCCAUGCUAAUUUGAGCACAUUUGGUUGCCUUGUGAGAGGAAGCCCUAGAUGGAGUUAGAAGAUAAGUCUGCAAGACUGGAGCUGGGUGAAAGCCAGUUUCCAGGCUGGGCACAUGGGUGUAUUCUGCAACUGUAAGCCUUGUAAGAUUUCAGCACCCAACACUGCCUCACGUCUCCAGUGUGAUUCAGCUGGAUGGAGGGAAUGGCUGACAGGCAGGGUGAUGACAGUUGCUGUUGGCAGGAGAUGAGGCAGGAGCAGAGCUGAGCUGCUCUCCCUUGGAGAAGUGAUGGUGACAGAAAAUGCCUCAUUCUCCCCCCAGUGAUGGAGUCUGUACUGCCCAGGCAGGGAGCAAUCUGAUAAAGUCCCUGAGGAAGUUCUCCAGCUCACCAACUGAGCACAAUUCCUUCCUUGUAGGCCCCUUUGCACUUGCCAACUGAAGGGAGGACAGCACAGUCUGGCCUACCCCUAGUGGGGAGGUUUUGUGUUAAUCACAUGGAAACCAUUUUGGACAGUUAAACAUAUAGAUGAAAGGCCAACUGGAUGCACAUGUUGCGUGGGGCAUGACCUAAAAGCAAACCCAGCAACUGAGAUGAUGUAGUGUGAAAGCUGGAUUAAACAGGUCAAGUAAAUUUGGAGCAGCUAAGAUAAACUGAACUCCCUUCCAAAACAUAUGUUGUUCUUGCCACAUAAUAUUGCUGUACUAUGGUAGCAUAUCCUAAACAUGCCAAAACUGUGAUACGCUUGUUCCAGGGUCACACUGCCAGUGGGAGAGAGUGAGGAUGGUUAUUUUGGAGAAAAGCUGCUCAAGAGGAGCUGUCAGAAAGUUGCACACACUUACGGCUGAGUGGUGUGCCGAAGCCUGGUGGGAGCUGAGCUAGGCCAAGAUGCCAUGUGUGGCUGCCUGCUCUGGGGUUUGGCUCCCCCGUGAACUUCCCCAGUGAUUGGCAAGCUGUGCUGACAGCCCCUAGCAGCUUGGCUGGGAGCUGGAGAUGUCUUGCAACAUCUGGGCCCAAUUCCCACUCACUUCCCACAUACACCUGCACGGAGCUCCCCUUGCAGGCAGUUUGGUAUGGAAAGGCAGUCUGCACUUCCCAUCAUGGGCUGAGCAGGGUGGGAAAUGUCACAAACUGAGCAAAUUUCAGCCUGUGUCUGCAGUGUGGAAAGAAGGGGUAGUCAACAGUGCAAUAUACUUGCCAUCCUCCUGUGCUGUUCUUGCAUAGAAGCACCAUUGGUAACACAUAAGGUGCACAAUGU